rnacentral:rRNA from 1 species
GGCUCAGGAUGAACGCUAGCGGCAGGCCUAAUACAUGCAAGUCGAACGGUUUGUAGCAAUACAGAUAGUGGCGCACGGGUGCGUAACGCGUAACCAACCUACCUGAAUCUGGGGGAUAGCCCGCCGAAAGGCGGAUUAAUACCGCAUAAAACCACAGAACGGCAUCGUUUAAUGGUUAAAGAUUUAUUGGAUUCAGAUGGGGUUGCGUGCCAUUAGCUAGUUGGGGAGGUAACGGCUCACCAAGGCGACGAUGGCUAGGGGAGCUGAGAGGCUGGUCCCCCACACGGGCACUGAGAUACGGGCCCGACUCCUACGGGAGGCAGCAGUAGGGAAUAUUGGGCAAUGGCCGAGAGGCUGACCCAGCCAUGCCGCGUGCAGGAUGAAGGCUUUCUGAGUCGUAAACUGCUUUUGCCAGGGAAGAAAAAAAGGUAUGCGUACUUUACUGACGGUAC